rnacentral:rRNA from 1 species
GACGAACGCUGGCGGCGUGCUUAACACAUGCAAGUCGAACGGAAAGGCCCUGCUUUUGUGGGGUGCUCGAGUGGCGAACGGGUGAGUAACACGUGAGUAACCUGCCCUUGACUUUGGGAUAACUUCAGGAAACUGUGGCUAAUACCGGAUAGGAGCUCCUGCUGCAUGGUGGUGGUUGGAAAGUUUCGGCGGCUGAGGUUGGACUUGCGGCUUAUCAGCUUGUUGGUGGGGUAGUGGUUUACCAAGGCUUUGACGGGUAGCCAGACUGAGAGGGUGACCGGCCACAUAGGGACUGAGGAGCGGCCAGGACUCAUACGGGAGGCAGCAGUGGGGAAUAUUGCGAAAUGGGCGGAAGCCUGAUGGAGCAACGCCGCGUGCGGGAUGACUGCCUUAAGGUUGUAAACCGCUUUCGCCUGUAAAGAAGAGUGAGUGACGGUAAUGGGUAAAGAAGCACCGGCUAACUACGUG